GCUCAAACCCGUCUGAACCCUUAUCAACUGCUCUCUCUCUCUCGCUUAUUCUUCUUCUCCUCCUCCACACAGACACAUACCUUGAGAGAGUGUGAAUGGCGAAGAAUGACGCGUCGUUGAGGAUCGGUGUAUGAGUUCUUGAAGUGGUGACGACUCGCCGUUAAUCUGAUCGCUCCAGAUCGUUCAGGUCGAUCCGGCAACGUUGAAAUUAAACGCCUCGUGGCCGCCGCCGCGAUCCACCCCCUCAUCACUGUGUGGAUACGCCGAUUACACAGACCCUGUUCACUUACCUGCUUUUGGGUGCUAAUUCUCACAUGGAUCUUCCUUGGCGCUCGAUAUUCCCUAUGGCAAUUGUUUGGUGCAGCCUUCUGUGUGGUUGAGCUUGGCAUAGUGCUCCUCUCUGAUGCAGGGGUGGCUGGUAGAGAAUAUACAAACAUGACACAUGGGCCGGGGUAAAAGAAAACAGAGAGAAGAAAGUGAAGAAGAGGAUAAUGAAGAAGAAACAUACCCAAUUGUAAACUCUAGCUUACUAAAUUUGUAUAUUUUUAUGGUGUCACUUUUAUGUUUAGUUUUCCUUAAGGAAACAUUAUUUUUAUAGACCUUUUGCAGCAGUUCAAGUUUUAGGCAUAU